rnacentral:rRNA from 1 species
UACGGAGGGUGCAAGCGUUGUUCGGAAUCAUUGGGCGUAAAGCGCGUGUAGGCGGUUUCUUAAGUCUGGUGUGAAAGCCUGGGGCUCAACCCUAGAAGUGCACUGGAUACUGGGAGACUCGAGGACGAGAGAGGAGAGUGGAAUUCCUGGUGUAGGGGUGAAAUCCGUAGAUAUCAGGAGGAACAUCAGAGGCGAAGGCGGCUCUCUGGCUCGUAUCUGACGCUGAGACGCGAAAGCGUGGGGAGCAAACAGG